rnacentral:other from 1 species
AGUCUCCUGGGGUGUUUGCGAGCUGGUUAUACGCCCUUGAGCCGUGAUUACACGAUAGGAGGAAGGGUCUUGUGUCCAAGCGUGCACGCCUUCGCCGAGCUGCCUUCUUCACUCGGCACGGGAAGCCGGGGAUACUCGUUCUUCCGCCGCCCUGAUCCCAUACGGUUCAGGGCUCGCCAGAGCGCGGCACACCCGGGAGUUCU